rnacentral:rRNA from 1 species
ACCGGACCCACGCUACCCCAUCCCGAACUAGGUCGUGAAACGGUGCAGCGCCGAAGGUACUGGCGGGAGACCCGCUGGGAGAGUAGGUCCGUGCAUCCG